CGGGUUUAUAAAGUGGACGUGCGUAUCAAUUCCACCCGCUGUAACGAUAAGACCUUCUCCCGCUAUAAUUUCAGUUGAAGCACCAAUUAUAAUGUCAACAUUGUCCAUAAUGAGUGGAUUACCCGCUUUACCAAUCGCUGCUAUCUUGCCGUCCCGAAUUGCGAUAUCCGCUUUUAAGAUACCUGUAUAAUCCAAUAUGACCGCGUUCGUAAUGACGACAUCAGGCACGCCAUCAGCGCGGGUUGCCAACGGAUGCUGCCCCAUGCCGUCACG
rnacentral:sRNA from 1 species